UUUUACCUGUUGGGGAAAAUAGAGACUAGAUUUGCUUUGCAUUUCCUGCAUGAUGGCGAUGAUCCAGUAGGAUCCAGUUAGAUUAUUAUGGAUUGUUGCUAUGAUGUUGUACAGAGUUUUUGUUCAAUGUGGCCCUUUUUAACUUUGAGCCCCUGACCCUCCAAAGGUCUCUGCACGGCCCUGUUACCAACUGUUUCAACUGGUAAAACCAGGAGCUGAAACAGUCGGCAAGUUGAUGCGGCCCAGAGACCAGGACAGAAAGCCGCUGUUCUCCGUUUCUCCUGGAGCAGAUUGAACUUGACCCAGUUUUCUACAUAUAUUACUGCCUGUUUCUUUUUUUCUGUUUCUUUUUGCCGCCUGUUUCCGGCCGUUUCUGCAGCUCAGCUGUUUAAUAACCGCAGAAUUUUCCAGAAUGUUCCGGAAUUUUCCGGCUCUGGAUCCCUGGUUCAUCGGCUCUGAUCCAGGGAACAACCUUCAGCUGUGGUUCCCAGUCCGCUGUGCUGGACUGCCUCCAGUUCCCCCAGUUUAACGGCGGAGCCAGAAAACCGCUCCCAGUCCAGCCAGCUUGUAAACCAGUUUCCUCUGCCGCUCCCGCUGCGCCCAGGCCGCCUCCCGGCCUCCGCGGCCUACUCCAAUCCUUCCUGUGAGGCUCUCGGCGCGAGGGAUCAGACAACGCGCCUCAGUCAUUUGUCAUGUUUUGUGUAGAACUGGACUCAAGCGGCUCUUUGUGCUGCAGCUGGGUGGAGCUGUGAGCGGCAUGCGUCCAGAACCUCCCAGAACCGCCCAGGACCGCCCAGCCUGCAGCAGAUGGUAAAUAUAAACACAUGAGCUGCGACUCAAAGAGCUGCUUGUCCUCCACUGGCCGGACCGGGUUCAGCAGGUAGCGGUGCCGCCGACUGCUGAGAGCCGCCGGAACAGGGUCGCCAUGGCAACAAUACACAGAACCAGCAUGUUGACCCUCAGGCAGGUUCUGGUUGGUUCUGCAAUGAGUCCUCUUGUCCAGAGCAGCUUCUCCUGCAGAGAGUGACCUUUAAGUUCUUCCUCAUCAUGAUAUGAGGCAGGAGUAUUUGACCUCUGACCUCCAUCAUUCUUCAGAGACGAAAACAUCUCAUCAGCUGCCAGUCUUCCCAGCACAUUCAACCUGAGGUCAUAGGUCAGAGCAUGAAAGUCAGAUAAAUUACCAAAAAACCCAGAAGUCCAUCUCAGACUCUCUAGGACUCAAUUAGCAGGUCAAAGGUCAAAGUCGUGACCCUGAAAGUCUCUACUCUCUAGAACCAAGAUGGCUGCCGGACUGCGGUUAGAGCUGCACCGGGAUGGAGGACAAGACGGCCGAGACAAAGUUCUCCAAGAUGGAGGAACGCAGCAGAUCAUUAAAGGACUCAUGGGCCGCUCUGUCUAUCUGACAAGACGUCCAGCCGCCAUCUUGGAGAGGGCGACUGCUCCACUCAGCGUUAUGAAGCGCAAUGAAGGAUCAGCGCAUUUAAUCAAUAAUAACUCGCUAAACAGAUGCCUCUGAAUGUUCUUGAAGCUGUUCUCCAGGAGGUGGCGCUAGCACAGGGAGACUCAGCUUACCUCACCUUGGCAUCGACCUGCAGGUGCUUUGAAGCCGUUGAGUCUGACCCAGUUUUCAGGAAGAAGACUCACUUUGCUUGGCUGGAUGGUGAGAUCAACUGGGGCAAAUUUUCAAAAACAUUCAAGGCAGAAAACCGGAUUCCUUUUGCGGUUGUAACGUGUUCUUCCUGCCACCGGUAAUAUAAAGACUGUGGGCUUCACCGGCGAUGGAAGACGAGGAGAGUACCCUGGUAACUACUGUGAUGGCCGACCUGGUCACUGCACUGGCUGUCAAUACUGAAUGCAAGGAGAAUAUUAGUUGCUUUCCACAAUCUUUCACACAUUUCAGUUGUCACACAUUGUUCGUUUUUUUUGUGACAAGCCAUUUUAAAUCAUUUCUGCUGAAGAAUAUUUGCCUUUUGACGUGUGCAGUCAUCCUUUUUAAUAAUGUGUUCUUUCAAUAUUAUUUACAUUUUUGAAUGUUCCUUUUCUUGUAGCUCAGUUGAUUUACAUUAUUUAGUUUUCAUAGAAAUGGUGCCGUUUCCACACAAAGUUACAUUGUGGCUGUAAUUUGUUGGAGAGAGUAGAACCAAUAAAGUAGUUGUAAAUAUAUUGUAACAGCGUUGUUUAACAAUAGGAUAACCUUGUUUUAAAAUGUUUAAAUGCAAGCAAAGCUAAUAACUUGCAAUAUUUUAUAUGUGUAAAUACAAUGUUUCCUAUACUUUUUGAACAAUGACUGGAAUCAAUACAAUUUUUCUUUACAAACCUGACAUACAGCCAAGUUUAUGUUUUAACAGAAUCAACUGUUGGGUUUUUGUAAUAAAGUAGCACAUACAGAAACAUAUUGUUCAGUUACAAAGUCAUAAUACAAACAUAAGACUAAAGGUAUCCUGACUUUAUGAAGAGAGAUGAGCCCGGCGCCGUUAGGCUGGGAUGGAGACACCUGAUCAGGUGAUUGGCUGAGCAGCUGAGAUGAAGACAGUUAUAGUUAGAAAUUACACACUGGUUUAAUUUAUGUAACCAGUGACUUUAUUCAAAAAGGUUUUCAUAUAGAAAAAAGAUCAUUCUCUCUGGCAGUUACCAGCGCAGUGUCUACUGCCGGGGUCCGAGUCCCAAAGAUUAUUUCUUGUCAAAUAAACUUUCUAAAACUUU